AAGAAAAUCAAGCAAAGCAAUGGAGCAAAGAACAACGCAGGUGCUCUUUUCCUGGGGUUUUUGAAGUAGUGCACUAUGUGCAAAGCCAGUGAGCCACACUUUGUGUUGGCUGGCAGGGGAAACAGUUUCAAAGAAUUCUGUUAUCAAAACUAGUGAGCAAGCUUAGGAGAAGCAAAAACGUAACAAAGCAACAGCAACAAAAAGUUAUAUUUGCAAGAGGCGGCUUGGUAUUGAUGGAUCUGUCCUACAUUGGAUUGAAUCUUCACUGAAGACCCUAGGAACCUUUGGGGAGAAGAAGAAUAUAUCCCCAGAUUCAAGACAUUCACGAUUCUAAAUGUGAUGUUUUCUGAGGCAGUCUGAAAGAGUCAAGGUUUGGAAGCUGAUAAAAUGAAGAGAGGCAGCGAAAUGGACAACAUAACUUGAAUCAGUUACAGCACUGACUUGAAAUUAUUUAGAACACCAGCCCCAUCCCACUCAAUCCCCAUCCUGUUUUUGUCUUAUAUGUCUGUGAUGUUCCAUAAGAAAGACAGAGAGCCUACCAGUGCUGCUGAACCCAGACUCUCUUGCAUCCCAUGUCACUUACACCAGAGGAACUCCGAGAACAGGCUGAAACCAUGCAGUGGCUGUUUGCACAGAAUUUACCACUGCAAACUUUUCUGACUCUGGACAACUGCACCACCACGGUUGUGCCAGAGCAGGCCAAAGAACAAGAGGUUAUGGACAAUUUUUUAAUAGUCCACGAACCCCCAGAGAAGCGGGACAUCUGUUGGAGUACUCUUUCAGUACACAUCUCAAGUGGCCAGCUAACCUGCUGGGGAAUGGAUCAUCCUGCAGAGGGUGAAUCAUGAGCUCACAGAUGAAAGUCACCCAAGAUGACAUCCCAGAUACUAUUGGCAAACAUCAUACAUGCCGAAAUCAAAGAUGAAGCUGUCAAACAGUAAGAGUGGAUGCUGCAGGGAUAGACAACAACAUCAUGUUAAAGAAAACGCUCUCAGAAGCCUUCAGGGGAAGUCACUGCACAAAGUGGAAAGUGUGUUUAAAAAAGAGAGAGAAAAAUUAAAGUAUAUAAGCCAACUCAAGGUAUCUUGAGGUACCAGUAGUGUUUUGUAGAACGUUCGACUCCUGGGAUGCAUAUGUGGAAUGGGAGAUUUGGACUUUAUCUGGAUAUUCUACUGGCUAUUCAGAAGAUGGCCCUGAGAGAGGUGUUGACUCUACUUCUCUUCUGAAGUUGGGUUAUUGCAAAAAGUAUCAUUUCAGGCAAGCUCCGUAAGCCCAUGUCUGAGUCACUGAGAUGUGUUUUGCAAUGGAGGAUUAAGGUUAUAAAUCUCUUCCAUGAAGAUCUUUUGUGCCAUACAGGAACUUACGGGGCAUAAUUUCUGUUGAGGAACUGGAUUGUGACUGACAGGCACCAAAAAAGCUGAAGAGUUUGCACAUGGAAGCAUGACUGUGCUUGCAGUCCCACAGUAGAAAAGGCAACCAGGAGGGGGGGAAUAAUCAGUAACAAGGAAAGAACUGCCUGGGAUGUCCGGGCUGGCCACCGGUGGAAAAAAAAGAAAGAAUCAGAUGAGAACUGAGUGAAGUAUAAGAAACCAAGCACAGAUAUUGCCUGGAUAUUUUUGUGCCUGAAGUUGUUCCUUGCCACCUGUUACCUGAUUCUUCAAUUGCACCAACUUUCUCUUCCAUGACAGUGGUUGGCAUCCUGCUAAGGACAAGUAAGCACUCUUGGUUUUCAAGAUGGUAUAGGUUUUCACUUAGUUCAGUCCCUAGAACAGGUAGGACAAAAAUGUUUUUGCAUCCCAUUCUUUCUUCAUUCCAGAACCAGGAAUUAUUGAACCAC
ensembl:lncRNA